GGUUUCGUAGUGUAGUGGUUAUCACGCUCGCUUUACACGCGAUAGGUCCUGGGUUCAAGCCCUAGCAGAACCA